GACGAACGCUGGCGGCGUGCCUAAUACAUGCAAGUAGAACGCACAGUUUAUACCGUAGCUUGCUACACCAUAAACUGUGAGUUGCGAACGGGUGAGUAACGCGUAGGUAACCUGCCUGGUAGCGGGGGAUAACUAUUGGAAACGAUAGCUAAUACCGCAUAAUAUUAAUUAUUGCAUGAUAAUUGAUUGAAAUAUGCAAUUGCAUCACUACCAGAUGGACCUGCGUUGUAUUAGCUAGUAGGUGAGGUAACGGCUCACCUAGGCGACGAUACAUAGCCGACCUGAGAGGGUGAUCGGCCACACUGGGACUGAGACACGGCCCAGACUCCUACGGGAGGCAGCAGUAGGGAAUCUUCGGCAAUGGACGAAAGUCUGACCGAGCAACGCCGCGGGGGUGAAGAAGGUUUUCGGAUCGUAAAGCUCUGUUGUAAGGGAAGAACGGGUGUGAGAGCGGAAAGUGCACACUGUGACGGUAUCUAGCCAGAAAGGGACGGCUAACUACGUG
rnacentral:rRNA from 1 species